UACGCAGGGCGCAAGCGUUAUCCGGAAUUAUUGGGCGUAAAGAGCUCGUAGGCGGUUUGUCGCGUCUGCCGUGAAAGUCCGGGGCUCAACCCCGGAUCUGCGGUGGGUACGGGCAGACUAGAGUGAUGUAGGGGAGACUGGAAUUCCUGGUGUAGCGGUGAAAUGCGCAGAUAUCAGGAGGAACACCGAUGGCGAAGGCAGGUCUCUGGGCAUUAACUGACGCUGAGGAGCGAAAGCAUGGGGAGCGAACAGG
rnacentral:rRNA from 1 species